rnacentral:rRNA from 1 species
CCUACGGGCGGCAGCAGUGAGGAAUAUUUGUCAAUGGACGAGAGUCUGAACCAGCCAAGUAGCGUGAAGGAUGACUGCCCUAUGGGUUGUAAACUUCUUUUAUAUGGGAAUAAAAUGUUCCACGUGUGGGAUUUUGUAUGUACCAUAUGAAUAAGGAUCGGCGAACGCAGUGCAAGAAGCCGUGGUAAUACGGAGGAUCCGAGCGUUAUCCGGAUUUAUUAGGUUUAAAGGGAGCGUAGGUGGAUUGUUAAGUCAGUUGUGAAAGUUUGCGGCUCAACCGGAAAAUUGCAGUUGAAACUGGCAGUGUUGAGUACAGUAGAGGUAGGCGGAAUUCGUGGUGUAGCGGUGAAAUGCUUAGAUAUCACGAAGAACUCCGAUUGCGAAGGCAGUUCACUGGACUGCAACUGACACUGAGGCUCGAAAGUGUGGGUAUCAAACAGGAUUAGAUACCCGUGUAGUC